rnacentral:rRNA from 1 species
AUUGAACGCUGGCGGCAUGCUUUACACAUGCAAGUCGAACGGGCUUGAGGGGCUUGCUCCUCAAGUUAGUGGCGAACGGGUGAGUAAUGCGUCGGAACGUACCGAGUAAUGGGGGAUAACGCAGCGAAAGUUGUGCUAAUACCGCAUACGCCCUUAGGGGGAAAGCAGGGGAUCGCAAGACCUUGCGUUAUUCGAGCGGCCGACGUCUGAUUAGCUAGUUGGUGGGGUAAUGGCUCACCAAGGCGACGAUCAGUAGCGGGUCUGAGAGGAUGAUCCGCCACACGGGGACUGGGACACGGCCCAGACUCCUACGGGAGGCAGCAGUGGGGAAUUUUGGACAAUGGGGGAAACCCUGAUCCAGCCAUUCCGCGUGAGUGAAGAAGGCCUUCGGGUUGUAAGGCUCUUUCAGCUGGAACGAAACGGUGUGCUCUAACACAGCGCGCUAAUGACGGUACCAGCAGAAGAAGCACCGGCUAACUACGUGCCAGCAGCCGCAGUAAAAC